GAUUAACGCUGGCGGCGUGCAUAACACAUGCAAGUCGAACGAUGAAGAUAUUUAGAUUCCUUCGGGAUGAAAAAUAUUGGAUUAGUGGCGGACGGGUGAGUAACGCGUGAGUAACCUGCCUUACACAAGGGGAUAGCCGUUGGAAACGACGAAUAAUACCCUAUGACAUAAACUCUUCGCAUGAAGAGCUUAUCAAAGAUUUAUCGGUGUAAGAUGGACUCGCGUCUGAUUAGCUAGUUGGUGAGGUAACGGCCCACCAAGGCAACGAUCAGUAGCCGGCUUGAGAGAGUGUACGGCCACAUUGGGACUGAGACACGGCCCAGACUCCUACGGGAGGCAGCAGUGGGGAAUUUUGCACAAUGGGGGAAACCCUGAUGCAGCGACGCCGCGUGAUUUAGAAGGCCUUCGGGUUGUAAAAAUCUUUUAUAUGGGAAGAAAAUGACAGUACCAUACGAAUAAGGACCGGCUAAUUAC
rnacentral:rRNA from 1 species